rnacentral:rRNA from 1 species
UACGUAGGUGGCUAGCGUUGUCCGGAUUUACUGGGCGUAAAGAGCGCGCAGGCGGUCGUUCAAGUCGAGUGUGAAAGCCCCCGGCUCAACUGGGGAGGGUCACUCGAUACUGAUCGACUUGAAGGCGGGAGAGGGAAGCGGAAUUCCCGGUGUAGUGGUGAAAUGCGUAGAUAUCGUAAGGAAGACCAGUGGCGAAGGCGGGUCUCUGGACAGUUCCUGACGCUGAGGCACGAAGGCCAGGGGGAGCAAACGGGG